rnacentral:rRNA from 1 species
UACACAUGCAAGUCGAGCGCUUCCCUUCGGGGAGGAGCGGCGGACGGGUUAGUAACGCGUGGGAAUAUACCCAGUUCUAAGGAAUAGCCACUGGAAACGGUGAGUAAUACCUUAUACGCCCUUCGGGGGAAAGAUUUAUCGGAAUUGGAUUAGCCCGCGUUAGAUUAGAUAGUUGGUGGGGUAAUGGCCUACCAAGUCUACGAUCUAUAGCUGGUUUGAGAGGAUGAUCAGCAACACUGGGACUGAGACACGGCCCAGACUCCUACGGGAGGCAGCAGUGGGGAAUCUUAGACAAUGGGCGCAAGCCUGAUCUAGCCAUGCCGCGUGAGUGAUGAAGGCCUUAGGGUCGUAAAGCUCUUUCGCCAGAGAUGAUAAUGACAGUAUCUGGUAAAGAAACCCCGGCUAACUCCGUGCCAGCAGCCGCGGUAAUACGGAGGGGGUUAGCGUUGUUCGGAAUUACUGGGCGUAAAGCGUACGUAGGCGGAUUAGUCAGUUAGAGGUGAAAUCCCAGGGCUCAACCCUGGAACUGCCUUUAAUACUGCUAGUCUUGAGUUCGAGAGAGGUGAGUGGAAUUCCGAGUGUAGAGGUGAAAUUCGUAGAUAUUCGGAGGAACACCAGUGGCGAAGGCGGCUCACUGGCUCGAUACUGACGCUGAGGUACGAAAGUGUGGGGAGCAAACAGGAUUAGAUACCCUGGUAGUCCACACCGUAAACGAUGAAUGCCAGUCGUCGGAUAGUAUACUAUUCGGUGACACACCUAACGGAUUAAGCAUUCCGCCUGGGGAGUACGGUCGCAAGAUUAAAAC